GGAUAAACGAUUGAUGUAACAAUAAGGUAUGUGACAUGUAAAGAACUAAAGCAAGCUUAAUUUGGACGACGAGAUCGUCAGAUAUGAAGUCUUACUUCUAAAACAAAGACAAUAAGUGUAAAAUGUCCUCGUGAGUGACAUAUUCAUUUAUAAGAAUGCUGGUGUUCACUUUUGCUUUUGCUGUACUCCUUUUUUCUCCUUUCACCCUAAAUGAUCAGUGAGCAGCGUGAGUCUUUUCAUCUUUUUUUUGUAUUUAGUAUUAGAUCUGCAUCAUUCUGUAACAUUCCUUUAACGUUUUCCAUCUUUGUAUAUUUUGCUGUCAAAAUUCUCAGAAGCAAAAAAGCUUUUGUGUUUCGCAAGUUAGUCGCCUCCCCGGUAUGAAUCUGCGAAAAGUCUCACGAUAUUUACAACGCAAAGUGUCGUACGUUUAAAGAACAUAAUGUAUCACAGUUCGCUACGAUAUUCAACUAGAUUACCCU